AAGCCAAAAAGAAAGCCGGAAUAG
rnacentral:tRNA from 1 species